GAGAAAAGGGAGGGUAGGAGAAAAUGAGUAGGUCUCUCUUUAUUUUACCUUCCUCAGACAGCAAAUGGCUUAUUUGAGAAAUCUUAGCUAAAAAGAAAUGCAAAUGUGCACUCUGGCAUUUCCAUACAGUGGCUGAAGAAUUCUAACUCAGUUCCAUUUCUUUUCCAGAAACUGAAAGAGCUGAUGAGUAACCAGCAGUCUCUGCAGUAUGGUGAAGUUACACUCCCUUUCCUAUGCACAAGCAAAUGAACUCUUCAGGGUAGCUCAAACCACUUCCACGCAGCACAUGAUUGACCUAAAGCACCUCAUUCUAGUCUCCUCAAGGAGAGGGGGCGCCAACCUGCCACAGUCUCCCAUAUUUGUUUUUAGGUUUUCAACUCCCAGUUCCAGCUCACCACAAGUGUAGGUGAAGCCUAGAUAAAUAUUGAGAUGAUGACCAGGGCUACAGUAAACAAGUGCUUCAAGAAAGGCAAAAUAAGAUAUCAAGAGAUAACAUAAUCUCUUGUUGUUACUAUAAUGAAUUGAGAUAAUAUGUUAAUUAGAUGAAUACUAAAAUCUUACUUGUGCCAAACGUGACUCCUGCAGGUUAUCUCUCAAGGUACUUUUUUUUCUAUAACCUUAGGGAAAAACUAGAGAUGAGAAGACAACACAUUUAUUGAAGUACAAUGUGUGUGAUGACUAGAAAUACUGAAUAAAAGGUGAUUCCUAUCGCUUGUGGUAAGAUAUUAAAUUUGUAUAAUAAACUUCUAAAAGUGUGAUUCUUCCCAUCAUUCCUAGUAAGAAUAAAUACUAUUGUUCUGCUAGUUUAUGAUGAUUUUCUUAUCAGUAUCCAACUCAGGCAGAAAUCUCAUGUUUCACUACUGGGCUUCCUCUCACUGUGAGAACUACUAUGUACUUGGCUGACCAUAUUGGCCUUGUUUUGCAUACUCAUUCAUGGAUGUAAGAGCCAUUCUUUCUAUAUUGGAAAAGCUAAAAGAGUAUCAGGUGUAGUAUCAAUUGACUAUUGGGUGAAUUGACCUAGCUCUCAGUAUUAGGAGUCCUUCAUCACCUAUAAGUCUCCUUCUGCCAAAGAAAAUAAUUUUUUUUCUGGCUGUGAAGACAGUGAAGAGAUAAAUGGUAUGAGGAGUCAUCAUUAGGGCUACUUUUCAUGGUGAUAUUAAGUAGAAUCAUGAACAACCAGGAAAAACCCAUCAAAUCUUGCUUUAGUGCCUUUCUUCAUGAAGGUAAUGCAAUUCCCAGGUCAGGAUUGGUCAGCGGUGAAAACUGGAGUUUCAAUACCCCGUUGGGUAUUUCAUGCAAUGCGGCAAGGGAAGUGUAAAACAUACAACUUGGCAAGACAGUUUUUGGCAUGGUUGAUAAUAAUUGGAGGAAUUUCAAGCGUUAUUCACAAUAGCCAAGAUUUGGAAGCAACCUAAGUGCCCAUCAAGGGACAAAUGGAUAAAGAAGAUGUGGUAUAUAUACACAAUGGAAUACUACUCAGCCAUAAGAAACGAUGAAAUCCAGCCAUUUGCGACAACAUGGAUGGACAUUGA